rnacentral:lncRNA from 1 species
GUUACCAAGGACGACAACGUUUAUCAAGCAUAGAUCGUUGUGUGCCAUAUAGGUUGGUUGUCCUCUUAACCAAUGAGUGUGGAGACACUGGUAUGGCAUACAGGUGAGAUGUAAGGGUACAUCUGCACUGAACGUGACCGACUCCGGAGCUAUUUCUGCUGUCAAGAUUUGCUCCGAUGGAAUAUGGGUAUAAAUAUCC